UGGGGAAUUUUGGACAAUGGGGGCAACCCUGAUCCAGCCAUGCCGCGUGCGGGAAGAAGGCCUUCGGGUUGUAAACCGCUUUUAGCUGGGAAGAAAAGGCACGUUUGAAUACGACGUGUUCUUGACGGUACCGGCGGAAUAAGCACCGGCUAACUACGUGCCAGCAGCCGCGGUAAUACGUAGGGUGCGAGCGUUAAUCGGAAUUACUGGGCGUAAAGCGUGCGCAGGCGGUCCGUUAUGUCGGAUGUGAAAGCCCCGGGCUCAACCUGGGAAUGGCAUUCGAAACUGGCGGGCUGGAGUGUGGCAGAGGGGGGUGGAACUCCUGGUGUAGCAGUGAAAUGCGUAGAGAUCAGGAAGAACACCGAUGGCGAAGGCAGCCCCCUGGGCUAACACUGACGCUCAGGCACGAAAGCGUGGGGAGCAAACA
rnacentral:rRNA from 1 species